rnacentral:rRNA from 1 species
AAACCGUUGAAAGGGAAGCGAAUGGGGUUAGCAAUUCGCCCUGCCAGAAKUUCAGUUGCCCGYGCUGCGCGACGUGCGCGCUCUCGAUCCCCAUGGACGAGACGUGCGCGGGUGCGUUGUGCGGACGGCGCACUUCUGGCGGGCGAGCGUCAGCGUCGGUUCUCGCCGGGCGAUAAGGUCGUGGGGAAGGUAGACCGGCCUUGCCGCCGGUCGUUAAGCCCCGCGAACGCAUGGCCCGACGGCGACCGUGGCCUCGCGACGUGUGCUUGGCUGGCGACCCGUGCCGACGGUCCGGCAUGUCGACCGUGGCGGACGGCACGCCUGUGCGCCCGAACUGCUGCCGGUCGUUCGGUGCGGUGCUCGCACACUACGCGUCUAGGAUGCUGACGGCCAUACGGCUCCAUCCGACCCGUCUUGAAACACGGACCAAGGAGUCUAACAUGUGCGCGAGUCUCCGGGUGAUCGAAACCCGUGGGCACAAUGAAGGUAAAGAUCGUCCAAGACGAUUGAGGUGAGAAGCGGCGCCCCGGCGUCGCGGCAUCAUCGACCGACCUAUUCUGCUCUCAGAAAGGUUUGAGUAAGAGCGUAUCUGUUGGGACCCGAAAGAUGGUGAACUAUGCCUGAAUAGGGUGAAGCCAGCGGAAACACUGGUGGAAGCUCGUAGCGAUUCUGACGUGCAAAUCGAUCGUCGAAUUUGGGUAUAGCGGCGAAAGACUAAUCGAACCAUCUAGUAGCUGGUUCCCUCCGAAG